rnacentral:rRNA from 1 species
GGAGCUUGCUCCACCGGAAAAAGAGGAGUGGCGAACGGGUGAGUAACACGUGGGUAACCUGCCCAUCAGAAGGGGAUAACACUUGGAAACAGGUGCUAAUACCGUAUAACAAUCGAAACCGCAUGGUUUUGAUUUGAAAGGCGCUUUCGGGUGUCGCUGAUGGAUGGACCCGCGGUGCAUUAGCUAGUUGGUGAGGUAACGGCUCACCAAGGCGACGAUGCAUAGCCGACCUGAGAGGGUGAUCGGCCACAUUGGGACUGAGACACGGCCCAAACUCCUACGGGAGGCAGCAGUAGGGAAUCUUCGGCAAUGGACGAAAGUCUGACCGAGCAACGCCGCGUGAGUGAAGAAGGUUUUCGGAUCGUAAAACUCUGUUGUUAGAGAAGAACAAGGAUGAGAGUAACUGUUCAUCCCUUGACGGUAUCUAACCAGAAAGCCACGGCUAACUACGUGCCAGCAGCCGCGGUAAUACGUAGGUGGCAAGCGUUGUCCGGAUUUAUUGGGCGUAAAGCGAGCGCAGGCGGUUUCUUAAGUCUGAUGUGAAAGCCCCCGGCUCAACCGGGGAGGGUCAUUGGAAACUGGGAGACUUGAGUGCAGAAGAGGAGAGUGGAAUUCCAUUGGU